AAUCCAUGCGGUAGACAUUGGCGGAGUAGCCCCUUGUACCUUUCCUACGCCUCAUAAUAGCAUUCUGAUUCCAAUUGAGGAAGUAAUGAUUUCAUCUCUCAGCUU
rnacentral:snoRNA from 1 species